AUUGAACGCUGGCGGCAGGCCUAACACAUGCAAGUCGAACGAGUGGCGGACGGGUGAGUAAUGUCUGGGAAACUGCCUGAUGGAGGGGGAUAACUACUGAAAACGGUAGCUAAUACCGCAUACCAUCAGAUGGCCCCAUAUGGGAUUAGCUUGUUGGUGGGGUAACGGCUCACCAAGGCGACGAUCCCUACCUGGUCUGAGAGGAUGACCAGCCACACUGGAACUGAGACACGGUCCAGACUCCUACGGUAGUGAGCAGUGGGGUAUAUUGCACAAUGGGCGCAAGCCUGAUGCAGCCAUGCCGCGUGUAUGAAGAAGGCCUUCGGGUUGUAAAGUACUUUCAGCGGGGAUGCGUUACCCGCAGAAGAAGCACCGGCUAACUCCGUGCCAGCCGCCGCGGUAAUUC
rnacentral:rRNA from 1 species